UAUAUUAAAGUGUAUGAUGCACAUUAAUUUUUGAUAUUAAAAGGGGUAGUUUAAUUCUACUUAAUAUAG
rnacentral:tRNA from 1 species